rnacentral:rRNA from 1 species
GACGAACGCUGGCGGCGUGCCUAACACAUGCAAGUCGAACGAUGAAGCCGGAGCUUGCUCCGGUGGAUUAGUGGCGAACGGGUGAGUAACACGUGAGCAAUCUGCCCUUGACUCUGGGAUAACUGCGGGAAACUGUAGCUAAUACCGGAUACGACACCUUGGGGCAUCCCAGGGUGUGGAAAGAAUUUCGGUCAAGGAUGAGCUCGCGGCCUAUCAGCUAGUUGGUGAGGUAUGGCUCACCAAGGCGACGACGGGUAGCCGGCCUGAGAGGGUGACCGGCCACACUGGAACUGAGACACGGUCCAGACUCCUACGGGAGGCAGCAGUGGGGAAUAUUGAACAAUGGGCGAAAGCCUGAUGCAGCAACGCCGCGUGAGGGAUGAAGGCCUUCGGGUUGUAAACCUCUUUUAGCAGGGAAGAAGCGAAAGUGACGGUACCUGCAGAAAAAGCACCGGCUAACUACGUGCCAGCCGCCGCCGUAA